rnacentral:lncRNA from 1 species
AAACAGGUUACUCCUGACGAUUGUGUGGUGAAAAGGCCUAAUGAGGGUCACAAUACUGAAAAGCAAAAGGUUGCUUUGAGUCAAAUGCUUCAUGAACUAAGGGAAGAUCUGACAUUUCCUCAGAUACCUGAUCACCAAAAAGAACAUGGGGAUGAUCAAAAGCAGUACUUAACCCAGAGGAGGAAGUUUGGGUUCAUCCACAUCUCUCUUCCAGUGGCAAAGCAAAACAAGAAGAAAUCAUAAGCAUUAAACGAAACAUAUAGGACAAAUUUUAUGACUAAACACGAGUACAGUUCGGAAUACCAACCGUGACACUGUGUUGCAGCUGUUCUUGGGUGAUUUUUAUUUAUUGUUUUUAUGUUGCUGGCAUCUUUGGAUAUUGGUUUUGAAAAAGGUGUGUCUGGAGUUUGUAGUCAUGGAUUCUAUGACCAGCCCUGAUUUUUAUAUUUAUU